AUUGAACGCUGGCGGCAGGCCUAACACAUGCAAGUCGAGCGGUAGCACAGAGAGCUUGCUCCCGGGUGACGAGCGGCGGACGGGUGAGUAAUGUCUGGGAAACUGCCUGAUGGAGGGGGAUAACUACUGGAAACGGUAGCUAAUACCGCACAACGUCGCAAGACCAAAGUGGGGGACCUUCGGGCCUCAUGCCAUCAGAUGUGCCCAGAUGGGAUUAGCUAGUAGGUGGGGUAACGGCUCACCUAGGCGACGAUCCCUAGCUGGUCUGAGAGGAUGACCAGCCACACUGGAACUGAGACACGGUCCAGACUCCUACGGGAGGCAGCAGUGGGGAAUAUUGCACAAUGGGAGCAAGCCUGAUGCAGCCAUGCCGCGUGUGUGAAGAAGGCCUUCGGGUUGUAAAGCACUUUCAGCGGGGAGGAAGGCGGUGAGGUUAAUAACCUCAUCGAUUGACGUUACCCGCAGAAGAAGCACCGGCUAACUCCGUGCCAGCCGCCGCGGUAAAAC
rnacentral:rRNA from 1 species